AUAACAUAAAAGUGAGUUAUGGCACAUGUGAAAAGCACCAAUUAAAAGCAGUUGAGCUUAGUGACAGUUCAUCUCCCAUCACUCAGCUCUCUCUCUCUCGUCACUGUCUCUGCUGCACCGGAGGCUCCCUCGGCGACAGAGACACCACGGGAACUCUAACAAAAACCAUAUUUCUACCCUAUUUUGCCCCCUAAAUCCAGAUAUGGCCAUGAAACGCUUUAAAAAUUCUUGAAUCGGUCCAAUCGAAAGUGCUCAGUCAAGAACCCUAACAUGUCAAAGUCAAAUUAAACGGCAUGAAAGCAUGGGUUCUCAUGUAAACCAUGGGGUUAAUGCUGCCAAGAUGAUCUACUACACAGUGGUGAUCAAUUUUGAGGCAAACAGAGAAGAAAAUAUUUACCUCCGAAAGGGAGAACUGUUUUGGCGAAUGUUGAUCGGAGAAGAUGGAAUGCGAAGGAAAAUCACUUGAACAAACAGGAUGGCGCUCACAUGAGGAUUGAGCAAACCCUACACUUGACUUGCAUUUGGAAAGCAUGGCUUAGGGACAACUUGCAAAAUAUGGAGUUUUAAAGAUUCAAAUAAAAAGAUGAUUUAUGGAAAAGUAGAAAUAAGAAUUAGGGUUAGGAUAGGUAGAAUUAGUCUGUUGACUUUGGUCAACUGGUUGAACAAAAAGUCAACAGUUAACCAAAAGUCAACUCAUGCCAAAAGGUGUAUUUUUGUAUGGUUUGAUUCUAUGUAAAGAUUGAUAAUGUAGUGCCGAUGUUGAGUAAAUCAAAAGAAGUAUUUUGUUAUCAUAUCCACAAAGACCGGAGCGAUAUUACCAA